rnacentral:rRNA from 1 species
GUUUGAUCCUGGCUCAGAACGAACGCUGGCGGCAGGCCUAACACAUGCAAGUCGAGCGCACCUUCGGGUGAGCGGCGGACGGGUUAGUAACGCGUGGGAACGUACCCUUUUCUAAGGAAUAGCCACUGGAAACGGUGAGUAAUACCUUAUACGCCCUUCGGGGGAAAGAUUUAUCGGAGAAGGAUCGGCCCGCGUUAGAUUAGAUAGUUGGUGGGGUAAUGGCCUACCAAGUCUACGAUCUAUAGCUGGUUUUAGAGGAUGAUCAGCAACACUGGGACUGAGACACGGCCCAGACUCCUACGGGAGGCAGCAGUGGGGAAUCUUGGACAAUGGGCGCAAGCCUGAUCCAGCCAUGCCGCGUGAGUGAUGAAGGCCUUAGGGUCGUAAAGCUCUUUCGCCAGGGAUGAUAAUGACAGUACCCAGUAAAGAAACCCCGGCUAACUCCGUG